GACGAACGCUGGCGGCGUGCUUAACACAUGCAAGUCGAACGGAAAGGCCCUGCUUUUGUGGGGUGCUCGAGUGGCGAACGGGUGAGUAACACGUGAGUAACCUGCCCUUGACUUUGGGAUAACUUCAGGAAACUGGGGCUAAUACCGGAUAGGAGCUCCUGCUGCAUGGUGGGGGUUGGAAAGUUUCGGCGGUUGGGGAUGGACUCGCGGCUUAUCAGCUUGUUGGUGGGGUAGUGGCUUACCAAGGCUUUGACGGGUAGCCGGCCUGAGGGGGUGACCGGCAAAUUGGGGAUGGAAAAACGACCCAGACCCCUACGAGGGAGAGAAGUAGGAAUAUUAGCAGAAGGGGCGAAACCAUGAGAAGAGAACGCCGGCUGCGGGGUGGGGGCUUUCGGUUUUAAAGCCGCUUUAGCCGUUGCCGAAGCAGGAGUGACGUUAAUGGGAAAAGAAGCACAGGUUAAAUCAGG
rnacentral:rRNA from 1 species